rnacentral:rRNA from 2 species
AGUUUGAUCCUGGCUCAGAUUGAACGCUGGCGGCAUGCCUUACACAUGCAAGUCGAACGGCAGCACGGGGGCAACCCUGGUGGCGAGUGGCGAACGGGUGAGUAAUACAUCGGAACGUGUCCUGUAGUGGGGGAUAGCCCGGCGAAAGCCGGAUUAAUACCGCAUACGCUCUACGGAGGAAAGGGGGGGAUCUUAGGACCUCCCGCUACAGGGGCGGCCGAUGGCAGAUUAGCUAGUUGGUGGGGUAAAGGCCUACCAAGGCGACGAUCUGUAGCUGGUCUGAGAGGACGACCAGCCACACUGGGACUGAGACACGGCCCAGACUCCUACGGGAGGCAGCAGUGGGGAAUUUUGGACAAUGGGCGAAAGCCUGAUCCAGCAAUGCCGCGUGUGUGAAGAAGGCCUUCGGGUUGUAAAGCACUUUUGUCCGGAAAGAAAACCUCCGCCCUAAUAUGGUGGGGGGAUGACGGUACCGGAAGAAUAAGCACCGGC